ACUCCUACGGGAGGCAGCAGUGGGGAAUAUUGCACAAUGGGCGCAAGCCUGAUGCAGCCAUGCCGCGUGUAUGAAGAAGGCCUUCGGGUUGUAAAGUACUUUCAGCAGUGAGGAAGGUGGAUGCGUUAAUAGCGUAUUCAUUUGACGUUAGCUGCAGAAGAAGCACCGGCUAACUCCGUGCCAGCAGCCGCGGUAAUACGUAGGGUGCGAGCGUUGUUCGGAAUUACUGGGCGUAAAGGGCUCGUAGGUGGUUUGUCGCGUCGUCUGUGAAAUUCCGGGCUUAACUCCGGGCGUGCAGGCGAUACGGGCAUAACUUGAGUACUGGUAGGGGUAACUGGAAUUCCUGGUGUAGCGGUGAAAUGCGCAGAUAUCAGGAGGAACACCGAUGGCGAAGGCACGGUUACUGGGCAGUUACUGACGCUGAGGAGCGAAAGCAUGGGUAGCGAACAGGAUUAGAUACCCUGGUAGCUACGAGU
rnacentral:rRNA from 1 species